AUGAAGUGGACUCCCCUCCUGUGCAGUGGAAGGUCUCAGCAUGCCUGUGCUAGGGCAGUGCUAAACCUGCCCAGUUUAGGCCUAGUUUUUUUUUUUUUAAUUAUUUUCUUUAUUUUUAGGGAUUCCCAUCAGGUGGGGAGAAACCAAGGCAGGGAGGCAAUAGGCAAUGCUCUGCAUGGGCACAGCUUUCCUUAUGUGCGUUCUUGGCUGGCUGACUCAGGGUUUCCUGAGAACCUGUUUCAUUCAUCAUGCUUUCCUGCUGCUGGCCGGAGUGAGGAACGUGGUGUUGCUUCCCUGGAGACUGUUUGCCAAGGGUGUGCUCAAAUGCUUGCGUUUGCCUUCAGAUGGUUUGGAGCAAGCCAGCCACAGCUCCACUCAUCUGGGCACAGUAAGCAAGGGGCUCUUGUUGCCAUCCCUGUGACUGCAGAGGACAGUUUUCUCUUUGUGGAGUGGGCAAGGAGUGGGGGCUGGAUUGGGGGCUGCCCACUUGUAACCACAGGUCUGUGUUUCGGUCUCUGUCACCUUUCCAGACCCUAUGUGACCUGGCCGGGGUGGUGCUGGCAGUGGCUGUGCAACUUCCUUGGAUGUUCUGCUGUCUGUCCCAGCCAUGUUGUAAAUAGAUAUUAAUCAUAUAUAUAAAUAUAUAUAUAAUUUUUUACAUGUUCAUCUCUCCUCUCUUUUAGAGUGCUAUGUUUUGUGGUUUUUUUGUUGGUUUGUUUUUUUUUUUAAAAAAGAGGAAAUAGUGAAGAAUUUAAAGGGGUGUUGCAGCUUGGGGGCUGCCCCUGUGCUGAGAGGGGCAAGAGGGAGAGGACAGCUGUCAAACCACACCUUUCCCUGGUUUUCUGAAAUGCCAGGCGUGCUCGUGCAGGAGGGGGAAGUGAUUGUCAGGACACAGGAUGAGAAGUAGGAAGAGCAAUUUACAAGGUUAGUAGUCAUGGAGCAGGGUUAUUUGCAUUCUGCCCCCAGAGCCAGGCAGGCAGGCAGCAAUGGUGUGAUGAUGCUGUCUGCCCUGCUGCAGUGGGAACUGCCCUCGAUCUGGGAGGCAUUCGCAUUCUCAUCCUCUGCUUCUUGUAAAAUAUUACCAUAAGAAUGAGGCUGGCAGUGGUGCGAGGCUUGAUGCCCCCAGGGCUGUUGGGGUGAGCCAGCAGGAAGAUGUUUAGCACCAACUAUCCGGGUGUCUGAGGGACUUGUGCGGCUGGAGCAAGGCCAUCAAAGUGCAGCUGUGGGGUGGGAUGGGGCACAGAGGGAGGGCUUGGGCUCACUGAGCCCAUGCAGGGUUUCAUUGAGGCAGGGAAGGCAGGUGUGGCCAUGCUCUUGUACCCAGGGAUGGUCACUGGGUGGGAGAGGGCAUAU
rnacentral:lncRNA from 1 species